rfam:Roseovarius tolerans strain EL-164 ROTO_contig000034, whole genome shotgun sequence.
GGGCACCUUCGGGGGCCUAUAACCACGGUGGGAUUGAAACCCAUCUUACAUAGCGGGCCUUCGGGCACGCGUUUGCUAAACGGAAGACAGAAA